rnacentral:rRNA from 1 species
GACGAACGCUGGCGGCGUGCUUAACACAUGCAAGUCGAACGAAGAGCGAUGGAAGCUUGCUUCUAUCAAUCUUAGUGGCGAACGGGUGAGUAACGCGUAAUCAACCUGCCCUUCAGAGGGGGACAACAGUUGGAAACGACUGCUAAUACCGCAUACGAUCUAAUCUCGGCAUCGAGGAUAGAUGAAAGGUGGCCUCUACAUGUAAGCUAUCACUGAAGGAGGGGAUUGCGUCUGAUUAGCUAGUUGGAGGGGUAACGGCCCACCAAGGCGAUGGUCAGUAGCCGGUCGGAGAGGAUGAACGGCCACAUUGGGACUGAGACACGGCCCAGACUCCUACGGGAGGCAGCAGUGGGGAAUCUUCCGCAAUGGACGAAAGUCUGACGGAGCAACGCCGCGUGAGGGAUGACGGCCUUCGGGUUGUAAAGCUCUGUUAAUCGGGACGAAAGGCCUUCUUGCGAAUAGUGAGAAGGAUUGACGGUACCGGAAUAGAAAGCCACGGCUAACUACGUG